rnacentral:lncRNA from 1 species
CUUUUAUUUUUAUUAAACAAUAUUUGUACAGCACAUAGUAAUUUCAAAAGUCUCUUUUAUCAAAUUUAUUUUGAUUUCAUGAAAACAUGUACAGCUAUUAAUAUAAGCAGGUGUAUCAGUCCAAUUUCCUACUAAAUAUUCUUUUUGUUAGUUUCUUUAUUUUCUUUUUUAGUUGCCUGCUUUAUCAUUCAGAAGGUUUGCACUGUAUUCCUGUACAUAUUUGGUUUGGUGCCCAGAAAUGUAUUAUUUUAACAGGGCUAUUCAUUAAAAGUUAUUACUUUACAGGGGUUCUACCAUGCAUACAUAAUUAUAUAUAUGCCCUUCUACAAUGAACACUGUGAUAAAGUUACCAUAAAAGAUUUUUCUUUUUAGGGUUUAUUGUAUCUGCCAUUUCAAGUCACAUUGAUUUGACUAAUCCUGGCAUCUGACUUUCUAACAUCAAUUAUUUUUUCAAAAUAUGUCAAAACAUAUUUUUCAUUCUUUUUUUUUUUCAGUAACAUUAAUCCUUCAGAAGCUAUUGGGACUUUGACUAGUCUUCCCUUUAUGUUCUCCAAGGAAGAAGCAAGCACAGCUGCUAACACAGAGACCUUGCCUUGGCCAGAGCCAUGGUGUUUGUGGAAUGGCAGAAUCCAUGGAAUGGUAAAGCAAAGGCUGUCUCUCACUUUGGACUCAUACAAAACAUAACAGGAUCUAGCUGUGCAUCUGCUGGUUUUACGUAAGCUCCUCUGAACAUCUUGCAUGUUGAUUGAAGAUUCCUUUUCUUGAUAAGUAGCUACAUUUAUUCUUGAUUAAUCAAUUGUUGCAAACCCUCUAAAUUUUCACUAAAGUGGAGGUAGUUUUGCUCUUAUUUCUUUAGUUUUCAGGGAGAGGGGCAACAAAUGUGUCUUUUUACGGUUGCCACCCCCUAGAUGAGACAUAAGAGUCCUUUAGCCUGAUUCUCAUGACUGUCUAGCAAAAGCAAGAAUUUGAGGUACUGUUUAAAGGGUAUAGGGUGUAGGAUAUCUUGCCUAACAUUUCUGUCUUGAAAGCAUGCUGU